rnacentral:rRNA from 1 species
GCGUUACUCGGAAUUACUGGGCGUAAAGCGUGCGUAGGUGGUUUGUUAAGUCUGAUGUGAAAGCCCCGGGCUCAACCUGGGAAUUGCAUUGGAUACUGGCAGGCUAGAGUGCGGUAGAGGAUGGCGGAAUUCCCGGUGUAGCAGUGAAAUGCGUAGAGAUCGGGAGGAACAUCUGUGGCGAAGGCGGCCAUCUGGACCAGCACUGACACUGAGGCACGAAAGCGUG